rnacentral:miRNA from 1 species
CAAGAAGAGAAUUAUAAGUCAUAGUAUCUGGAACCAAAUUCCUCCGAUCCAUUUCCAUAAACAGCAUCAAGGCCUCAUCCACCAUCUUAACCUUACAAUACCCAUUAAUC